GCGCAGUUGGUGACUUGCAACAGAUCACCGGUUUGGCUAAGCAGAUGGUGACAACAUUUGGAAUGUCUGAAAUCGGACCAUGGUCGCUAAUGGACUCAUCGGGUCAAAGCGAUGUCAUUAUGAGGAUGAUGGCAAGAAACUCCAUGUCCGAGAAGCUUGCAAAUGAUAUCGAUUCAGCGGUAAAGACAUUAUCAGACAGAGCAUAUGAGAUAGCUUUGAGCCACAUUA